CAUCCUUUUUAAAAUUUACAUUUACUGUAAAAUUUUAGCCUUAAAAUAAUAAUAAUGAAAUAAAAAAUAAAAAUUGACCAUCAAAUGAUGGUGCUACAAAAUUACAAUUUUCAAUAUUUUUUAUUUUUUUUUAGAGAAAGAUAAUAUGCUAUCUGUUUCGUUUAUUUCAUUUAAAAAUAAAUUUAGCUUAAAAUAUGAAUCAAUUAGAAUUCAAACUUGAAUCUCAGGUACUAAAUUAUCAACUACCAAAUUUUUUUGCCACUUGCGCUAGAGACAGUCGGCAACAUUUUUUUCGUUUCGUGUUCACAUUUA
rnacentral:lncRNA from 1 species